UCCCGUUUCCUGUCUCCGCUCGAUAUCGAUGAAGGCUAUCACGAGUGCAAGGGGCGCUCGGCCUUAUUAAACCUAACCCCUUUCUCUCACAGGGGGCAAUCGAUCCCUGGCCCGUGUCGCCGGACAGGUCUCCGUUCUCCUCCCCCGCCAGUGCCGGAAAGUCCAUCUCCGCGACCGCUGCGUGGAAACGCUCUUUGAAAAACGGAUUUCACCUUUCCAGGUGCCGGAUUCUGGGGUUCAGGUACCUCCUUGGUGUUAGUGUCGAGGGCCAUCUUUUCUAGCUUCGUUUCCUCCAAGCAAACAGGAAAAAGAAGACGAUCUAUCUUUGAACUGAUUAAGGUGGAUGUUCCAACUGGUAUUUGUGUUGAUUAUUUGACAGAGGAGUUUGUUCGUAUGAUGAUGUAAAUCAACUAUUAAUGAAGGCAGUGGAGCAAGUCUUGGUAGGAUCCAUCAGGUGAGAAAUGGCACUUGAAGCAAGCUGCUGAAAUUAUGCAGCUAAAUUGUUUAUGCUUGACUUCCACCUUUUGAGUUUUGUACUGAGUUUAAUGUUUGUUAUGUUCCAUAUGAUUGUGGAUGUGGUAGGUCCAACAAUAUAAACAUGAACAAGAAUGCAAUGUAAUUGUUGCUCAAACCCUUGAGGGUAAAAUCUCUUAGAUUGAGACUUUUAUGGAUUAAGUGAAGAGUUUAUUGCGCUUGUGAAUGAACAUAAGGUUUUACCGAUCCUUGAUCCUAUGUUUGACAUUUUUUUAUCUCUUUAGUUGUCUUACCAAGAUUUUCUAUCUAAACUUUCUUACUAGUACUAAAAAUUCUAUGCACACUAUAGCUUCUUGAAGAAAAAUACGAGAAUCAUCCAGAGGUUUUAUGGGUAAAUAUUGAACUGAAAAGGGUGCUGAUGAGCUUGAUGACUAUGUUGCAAAUUUGCAAUGCUACAUGGUUUCCUUUUCUUCUUCUGAAUU